rnacentral:rRNA from 1 species
GACGAACGCUGGCGGCGUGCUUAACACAUGCAAGUCGAACGGAAAGGCCCUGCUUUUGUGGGGUGCUCGAGUGGCGAACGGGUGAGUAACACGUGAGUAACCUGCCCUUGACUUUGGGAUAACUUCAGGAAACUGGGGCUAAUACCGGAUAGGAGCUCCUGCUGCAGGGUGGGGGUUGGAAAGUUUCGGCGGUUGGGGAUGGACUCGCGGCUUAUCAGCUUGUUGGUGGGGUAGUGGCUUACCAAGGCUUUGACGGGUAGCCGGCCUGAGAGGGUGACCGGCCACAUUGGGCCUGAGAGACGGCCCAGACUCCUACGGGAGGCAGCAGUGGGGAAUAUUGCACAAUGGGCGCAAGCCUGAUGCAGCAACGCCGCGUGCGGGAUGACGGCCUUCGGGUUGUAAACCGCUUUCGCCUGUGACGAAGCGUGAGUGACGGUAAUGGGUAAAGAAGCACCGGCUAACUACGUG